rnacentral:rRNA from 1 species
AGUUCAAAAAAGGCCGGAGGAUUGCGCAGUGGUUUAUUCGAGCACGCGAAGAACCUUACCAGGUCUUGACAUCCUCUGACAAUCCUAGAGAUAGGACGUCCCCUUCGGGGGCAGAGUGACAGGUGGUGCAUGGUUGUCGUCAGCUCGUGUCGUGAGAUGUUGGGUUAAGUCCCGCAACGAGCGCAACCCUUGAUCUUAGUUGCCAGCAUUCAGUUGGGCACUCUAAGGUGACUGCCGGUGACAAACCGGAGGAAGGUGGGGAUGACGUCAAAUCAUCAUGCCCCUUAUGACCUGGGCUACACACGUGCUACAAUGGACAGAACAAAGGGCAGCGAAACCGCGAGGUUAAGCCAAUCCCACAAAUCUGUUCUCAGUUCGGAUCGCAGUCUGCAACUCGACUGCGUGAAGCUGGAAUCGCUAGUAAUCGCGGAUCAGCAUGCCGCGGUGAAUACGUUCCCGGGCCUUGUACAACCCCGCCCGUA